AGAGUUUGAUCCUGGCUCAGAUUGAACGCUGGCGGCACGCCUAACACAUGCAAGUCGAGCGGUAACAGGAUGUGUAGCAAUACACAUUGCUGACGAGCGGCGGACGGGUGAGGAACACGUAGGAACUUGCCCUUUAGAGGGGGACAACCAAGGGAAACUUUGGCUAAUACCGCGUAAUCUCGAAAGAGGAAAGCUGCCUGUAAAGGUGGCGCUAAAGGAGGGGCCUGCGUCCGAUUAGCUAGUUGGUGAGGUAAUAGCUUACCAAGGCGAUGAUCGGUAACUGGUCUGAGAGGACGACCAGUCACACUGGGACUGAGACACGGCCCAGACUCCUACGGGAGGCAGCAGUGGGGAAUAUUGGACAAUGGGGGCAACCCUGAUCCAGCGAUGCCGCGUGGGUGAAGAAGGCCUUCGGGUUGUAAAGCCCUUUAGGCUGGGGACGAAGUGCAGCAGUUAAGAGAUAGUUGCAUUGACGGUACCGGCAGAAUAAGCACCGGCAAACUUGUGCCAGCAGCCGCGGUAAUAC
rnacentral:rRNA from 1 species